AGGUAAGCUACUAAGAGCGAAUGGUGGAUGCCUUGACUGGUAAAGGCGAUGAAGGACGUACUAGACUGCGAUAAGCUACGGGGAGCUGUCAAGAAGCUUUGAUCCGUAGAUUUCCGAAUGGGGCAACCCAAUGUAUAGAGAUAUACAUUACCUAUAUAGGAGCGAACGAGGGGAAUUGAAACAUCUUAGUACCCUCAGGAAAAGAAAUCAAUAGAGAUUGCGUCAGUAGCGGCGAGCGAAAGCGCAAGAGGGCAAACCCAGUGCUUGCACUGGGGGUUGUAGGACUGCAAUGUGCAAGAGCUGAGUUUAGCAGAACAUUCUGGAAAGUAUAGCCAUAGAGGGUGAUAGUCCCGUAUGCGAAAAACAAAGCUUAGCUAGCAGUAUCCUGAGUAGGGCGGGACACGAGGAAUCCUGUCUGAAUCCGGGUCGACCACGAUCCAACCCUAAAUACUAAUACCAGAUCGAUAGUGCACAAGUACCGUGAGGGAAAGGUGAAAAGAACUGAGGUGAUCAGAGUGAAAUAGAACCUGAAACCAUUUGCUUACAAUCAUUCAGAGCACUAUGUAGCAAUACAGUGUGAUGGACUGCCUUUUGCAUAAUGAGCCUGCGAGUUGUGGUGUCUGGCAAGGUUAAGCAAACGCGAAGCCGUAGCGAAAGCGAGUCUGAAUAGGGCGCUUAGUCAGAUGCUGCAGACCCGAAACGAAGUGAUCUAUCCAUGAGCAAGUUGAAGCUAGUGUAAGAACUAGUGGAGGACUGAACCCAUAGGCGUUGAAAAGCCCCGGGAUGACUUGUGGAUAGGGGUGAAAGGCCAAUCAAACUUCGUGAUAGCUGGUUCUCUCCGAAAUAUAUUUAGGUAUAGCGUUGUGUCGUAAUAUAAGGGGGUAGAGCACUGAAUGGGCUAGGGCAUACACCAAUGUACCAAACCCUAUCAAACUCCGAAUACCUUAUAUGUAAUCACAGCAGUCAGGCGGCGAGUGAUAAAAUCCGUCGUCAAGAGGGAAACAACCCAGACUACCAGCUAAGGUCCCUAAAUCUUACUUAAGUGGAAAACGAUGUGAAGUUACUUAAACAACCAGGAGGUUGGCUUAGAAGCAGCCAUCCUUUAAAGAAAGCGUAAUAGCUCACUGGUCUAGUGAUUUUGCGCGGAAAAUAUAACGGGGCUAAAGUAAGUACCGAAGCUGUAGACUUAGUUUACUAAGUGGUAGGAGAGCGUUCUAUUUGCGUCGAAGGUAUACCGGUAAGGAGUGCUGGAGCGAAUAGAAGUGAGCAUGCAGGCAUGAGUAGCGAUAAUUAAUGUGAGAAUCAUUAACGCCGUAAACCCAAGGUUUCCUACGCGAUGCUCGUCAUCGUAGGGUUAGUCGGGUCCUAAGUCGAGUCCGAAAGGGGUAGACGAUGGCAAAUUGGUUAAUAUUCCAAUACCAACAUUAGUGUGCGAUGGAAGGACGCUUAGGGCUAAGGGGGCUAGCGGAUGGAAGUGCUAGUCUAAGGUCGUAGGAGGUUAUACAGGAAAAUCCGUAUAACAAUACUCCGAGAACUGAAAGGCUUUUUGAAGUCUUCGGAUGGAUAGAAGAACCCCUGAUGCCGUCGAGCCAAGAAAAGUUUCUAAGUUUAGCUAAUGUUGCCCGUACCGUAAACCGACACAGGUGGGUGGGAUGAGUAUUCUAAGGCGCGUGGAAGAACUCUCUUUAAGGAACUCUGCAAAAUAGCACCGUAUCUUCGGUAUAAGGUGUGGUUAGCUUCGUACUAGGAUUUACUCCGAAAGCGAAGAAACUUACAACAAAGAGUCCCUCCCGACUGUUUACCAAAAACACAGCACUCUGCUAACUCGUAAGAGGAUGUAUAGGGUGUGACGCCUGCCCGGUGCUCGAAGGUUAAUUGAUGGGGUUAGCAUUAGCGAAGCUCUUGAUCGAAGCCCGAGUAAACGGCGGCCGUAACUAUAACGGUCCUAAGGUAGCGAAAUUCCUUGUCGGUUAAAUACCGACCUGCAUGAAUGGCGUAACGAGAUGGGAGCUGUCUCAAAGAGGGAUCCAGUGAAAUUGUAGUGGAGGUGAAAAUUCCUCCUACCCGCGGCAAGACGGAAAGACCCCGUGGACCUUUACUACAGCUUGACACUGCUACUUGGAUAAGAAUGUGCAGGAUAGGUGGGAGGCUUUGAGUAUAUGAC
rnacentral:rRNA from 1 species